ACCUCGGUGGCUUCGAGGGAAAGCGCCGGCCUACAAAUCCUCAGGUCGCGGGUUCGAAUCUCGGCCGAGGUG
rnacentral:tRNA from 1 species